CAUAAAUCUAAAUUAACACAAAUUUUUAUUUCCCAAAUCACAAAGAACAGAGAUUAUUUAUUUGCGAUCACUUCUUUAUUAUAUAAUUUCUGCUCCAUUGAGGUAAUAAAUUCGUUGUUUAGCCAAUGGCAGGAACUUGAGUGACCACCCGAUUUUCAUCCACGAAAACCCGGACCCUGUUGAAAUUUAAAUCCUGAGUUAUAGGCAAUCCCUCCUUGACCACGAUUGC